rnacentral:rRNA from 1 species
GACGAACGCUGGCGGCGUGCUUAACACAUGCAAGUCGAACGGUAAGGCCCUUCGGGGUACACGAGUGGCGAACGGGUGAGUAACACGUGGGUGAUCUGCCCUGCACUUCGGGAUAAGCCUGGGAAACUGGGUCUAAUACCGGAUAGGACCCUGGGAUGCAUGUCCUGGGGUGGAAAGCGUUUGCGGUGUGGGAUGGGCCCGCGGCCUAUCAGGUUGGUGGUGGGGUGAAGGCCUACCAAGGCGACGACGGGUAGCCGGCCUGAGAGGGUGACCGGCCAAACUGGGGCUGAGAUACGGCCCAGACUCCUACGGGAGGCAGCAGUGGGGAAUAUUGCACAAUGGGCGCAAGCCUGAUGCAGCGACGCCGCGUGAGGGAUGACGGCCUUCGGGUUGUAAACCUCUUUCAGCACCGACGAAGCGCAAGUGACGGUAGGUGCAGAAGAAGGACCGGCCAACUACGUGCCAGCCGCCGCCGUAA